UACUAAAUGCUUCAUGGGUAAUUAUUUCUCAGGAAAUAAUGACGGCCGGUCAUCGGCCGUCUUUUUUUUGUCGAUC
rnacentral:sRNA from 1 species